UGAUUGUAAUUCACCCUCUGAAUUCUGCCUAGCAACAAGCAAAGAAUCAGCGUAAUCUAAAAGUGAAUAUUAAAUCUGAAUAUUAGUGAUGCAGUGUGUGCGUACAAGUCGGAAAAAAAGUGUAUGUAAGUGUUUGUAUGCACUUGGAUUGGCUGCUCCCCCACCCCUCUCUCUCGCUCUCUCUCUCUCUUUCUCCCGCUCUCUCAGCUCUCUGCAUGUUUGGUCACACUGUCACUUUCAGACCAACAUAGCGGCCGCCAUUUGACACGCUUCCACAGAGAGCUGGAUACAUGGUGAAGAGUGGCGAAAUAAGAAGUUAUUCGGCUAAAUAAGACUCAUCCCCAGGACUUGAUGGUGUGAGGUACAGCUGCUUUAAAAUUAGCCGAAUGGAUCACGGUACCAAAUCUCAAGACCGGGACCGCCUCUGGGUCUGCUGUGGAGAACGGAAACGGCAACAGGAGCAAAGAUGAACCUUGAUUCUGUGGAGUCGAGCUGGAACCUGCUGUCCAUCUUCAGCCUCAUCUUCAGUCAGAGAUCUCCCCGUGUGCACCCAGAAGCAUUUGAAGAGACCCCGGUCCCAUAAACGUCAUACCCUUGCAUAGCUAGCCGUUGUCUGCUUGCUGCAGCCCAGGGUGUGGCUAACUAUGGGAACCGGGUGCUGUGCCUAACUCGGACACUUGGAGUAGCAUGGCCUCUCCUCCUCGUCCAUACGCCCCAAUACCUCCUCCAGCUACCUGUGCUACUUUUCCUGAUAAUUCCACUCCCUGCACCUCCUUAGGCAGUCCUGUUUCUAAGGAAACUGCAACAAGACAAUACCCGGUAACUGUCCAGACCUCAUUCUUGCCAUCUCUCACACACCCCGCUGCUUUUUCGGUGAAGACAAGAAUAUGUCCAGCCAAGCACGGCAUUGCGGUGUCUCUCUGCCUUGUGGAUAGUAGCAGUACUCCCUCCAAAGACACUGUAAAAGACUUGAAGCCUAUUGGCUGGGUGACUCCAAAUACAUGGGACAGUCGCUUCAGCGGCACAGAGGAAACGAUGGAUGUUCGCAAACUGGAAACAACUUGUGAAAAUACAGCUUUGCGCAAUGUUGAAGAAACUAAAAAACAAGUAUGUGAGGAUUCAGGACAUAUAGCUGCCAUAGAUGCGGACUAUAUUGAUAUUCUGCAGGCAAAUUUGCUUUUUGGAAAAAGUCCAUCAGCAACUGCGGGGCAGCAGAACUCAGCACAAACUGAAAAACAUCAAUCAGAAUUAUUCAUGCAUUUACCUAAAAAUGCGCCUUUAUCGUCUCUCCACCAUUCCCAGUCCCAUCACCCUCAACCCGAAACAUUUCAGUGUGUCCGCACUGUCCAAUUCUCAGAGAAGCCCUGCACCCCAUGCAUGACAAGGAGACAAGGGGAAGUGGUUUCCCAAACUCAGGAUUUAAAGUGUCGGCAUCGGGAGUCCUACAAGGCCGCUCUGAAAAACCCUGUCGGAUUAGAGAAGGCAAGAUCGAGGAUGUUAGGUGUUUUGCCGGAAGAUGGUGGAAUCUCACGGUGUGAUGACAGAAGGAGACCAACAGAGACCGAGAGAGGAGGACCACAAUGGCAUGACCAAAAGCCUUGCUGUGAAUCCGGGAUGGAAAACUUUCCCAGUGCCAGUGGAGCCAUCUUUAAGGAGUCAGGCGAGACGCACAGUGUUCCAUGUUGGAGACAUACAGGAGAUAAAACCCCAGCUGACCGUACGGCCUACACUAGAAAGUUUGACAGAAAUCCAGAACCCAUAACUCACAGGACCGACGUGCCUUUCCGAGAACCAACUGAUGCAAAAUAUUACAUCGGUUUACAAAACGGGAGUAGAGCUAAUACAGACAUAUUUUUCCCAUGCACCAAGAACCCUCAACAUGCAAAUAUAAUCUCCGACGAUCACCACAGCUUAUCACAUCGCUGCUCCGAAAUUCCCAAACCUUGUGAAAGGCCACUUGACAGACCGACUCCCACCGGAGCUAAGGACAAACGGGAUUCCUCUCUCUCCACAGCAGUGGUGGACACCUCGGAGAAGUGCCAGUUGGUUCUCGUUGACGGUCAGAAUGUCAGGAGGGGGGCGGAUGCUGACACGGGUGCAGGUGUUCCUCAGCUACAUGUGGUGAAGUGUAAGAAAAGCACAGCUUUUCAAUUAGUAUCACCAAAGAUCAGCAGGAUGAAGAUGGCCAUUCCAGAUGCGGUCAGCAGAUCCAACGAUGGUAGAAGCUUGAAGAGCUCUUCACUGGAAACAGACACUCACAAGAACCCUCAGUCGUCCUCUACUCAUCCCAAUCCCAGACCAGACCACCUCCCUUUGGGUUUCCUAGGUCCCAGAGUUCACCCGCUCUAUCAAGGAGUAGCAGCACUCACAGGAGGCAGAGACAGAACCGGCAGGGCCAUUAUUGAGCUUUAUGGAGACCACCAAGAAUGGAGAUCUAACAUGACCAGCCAGGAGCUCCUGGGGAUGCUGCUCUACUUCCACUCUAUCAUCAGGAGAGAACUCAGAGAAGCUGGGAUGACCUUAAUCUUUGAUGCAAGGAAGUCAAAUCCUCCACCGCUGCUUUACAAAGCCUUGAUGACGCUGCAGGAGCUCAUUCCCCAGGCAGUAAACAGUUUGCUGCUUUUCAUAGACAGAGAAAGCAGCCCUCAUCCAGAGACGUGCCCCACCAUCCAGCAGACUGAAGUGGUGACGUCCCCGAAAGCCUUAAUGAAGCUGGUGGAAGAGAGUCAGAGAACCUACUGCCUGGAUGGAACACUGUGUCACAACAACCGUGACUGGAUGGAGCUGCACCAGAAACUCUUUCCAUUUGCAUCUGAUCUUCACGAGGCGUCUGGUCUGCUUCUGAGAGCAAUCAGUAACUUAAAAGCUCCUCGAAGAAUGGACUCUGUUCAAACUGUGCAGCAAUGUAUGAAGGAGCAGAGGACUCUAAUGCGUGAUGUACUGGAGGAUAAGCGAUUGGUUCACUUGCAGAGGGAGGGUGGGGCCAUCCUGGCGAGGCUGAGGAAGGAAAGUGACCUCAGAUACCCACAUUGUGAGGACCUCAGUGAUGCAGUAGACUCGCUGACAAGCCUGUACAACAACAUGGAGGAGCAGGUACACAUCCUUGUGCAGAGCUCCAACACGUCUCUGGAGCAUUUGGAGUAUUUGCUACACGUCAGGGAGAUGGAGGGACAUGUCACACAGAUGCAAAAGUGGUUUUACGAAGAAGGAGAGCGCCACCUCCAGGAAGCCAAAUCGGCGGUGGACUCUGGAGAGCAACUGGAGCAAUUCCUCAACCGCUUCACUGCUUUUCUUAUUGAGGCUAAUGAUCGCAGACAUCAUGCCAUGUCAUUAGUUGAAGACGCUGAGCACCUCCAGCAGGAUGGGGUAUCUUACCCAGAAACACAAGUCUUCUGCAGCCUUAUCUGCAUGUUCAAAACAGAACUGGACGACUUCCUGUGCAGAGCGGAAACAUGCAGCAGGGAGCUCCAGAUCAUGGUCAAUGUGUGCGAUUUCUGUGAGCAGGCUAGAACUCUGGCUGCUGAAUGCAUUGAGUACCUCAACCAGAACCAAACCAGGACCUCCAAAACCCAAGACUGGGUUCAAAAUAGAUCACCUGUCAAUCAAAACCAAGAUGGUGUCCAUGCACUGCUCAUCCCAGUCACACCCACAACCACCAGUGCAUUGUCAUCAGACACCUCAAUGCUCCAAAUCUUCCAGGAUAAGUUCCUCCAGUUCAGCCCAGACAAAUUUCAAGAGGUGAGGGCCCAGGCCAGUGCCCUGCGAGGCUCCAGAGGGAUGAGGGUGUGGAACGCGGCGUGGCUGAGGUGCCAGGAAGCCCAGCAGCUGCUUCAGGAGAAGAUUCAAGACACCACAGAUGAGGUUUUGAACAGGAAACCACAAAAUAGCAGCUGUUGUGGGCAUCAUUAUGUCGAUGUGGCCAGCACUCAUGUUCAGACAGCACCACCUAGUGGUUUGGUGGUGCAGUCGACUCCAGGACCACAGCACCCGCAGUGGGAGGCCAUUGUGUCAGGGGCGAUGGACCUAGGGAAUAGAAGAAUAGAAGCUGACUGUGACCUGAUCAAACCUGAAGAACAUGGUGACGCAGGAAGUAGCCGGAAGUCAAGAUCAUCAAGGAAAGAGGAACGAGACACCAAGAAGAGUCGAGCGAGAAGCGAGCGAGAUGCCGCCGCUCUCUCUCAGUCUCACACGGUCGGCUGCCACUGGUUCCUGUGGGGCAGAGGCCUUCGAGCCAAGUCCCAGUCCCAGGUAGAAGCGACUGAGUUUCCCACGCCUCCAGAGGAGCAGGUUCGACCCCCAUCCUGCUCUCACCACGGUCAGCCGUCUUGUCGGAUCCUACAAGAGGCUCAGAAGUUUCAGAUCUCCCGCCACGGAAGCUUUUGCUCAGUGGGAUCCUGCACCAGCAAUCGAUUAGCCGUGGAAGAGGGGGGAGGUUAUCUCUGCAAACACUCUAGCUUGCCAAGUGGGAGGAGUGAAGGAACGUUCUGCUUGGAAAGUCCACAGGAGAGCACCAACAAUGCUCUGAGGCUUCAGCGUGUCCUGGAAGAACUGCUGAUCACAGAGAGAGAGUAUGUUCGCUCACUAGACUACAUCCUGACUCACUACCUCCCCCUGCUGGACAGACCAGACAUCCCUCAGGACCUCAGGGGCAAGCGCGGUGUCAUCUUCGGGAACCUGCAGAAGCUUCAUGACUUUCACAGCCACUACCUCCUGCCCGAACUGGAGGCUUGCCAGAGUGAGCCUGCCAUGGUCGCGCGGUGUUUCCUCAGACACAGUGACAGUUUUGGACUAUACGCGCUUUACAGCAAGAACAAACCACAGUCAGAUGCCCUCAUACUACAUCGCCGCCAUGACAUAUUUAAGAGAAAGCAGCAGGAACUCGGGGACAUGAUGGACUUAUCGUCCUACCUGCUGAGGCCCAUCCAGAGGAUCAGCAAGUACAGCCUGCUGCUGCAGGACAUGCACGCUCUGACCGCCUCCCACUGGCCACAAGACAUUACCCAUGAUGCUCUGAUGGCCCAUUCUCCUGACCUGAGCUGCAGGGAAAGAGAACAGGCUGACAUCCAGGCUGCCGCAGAGCUGGUUCGCUUUCAAAUGCGCCACGGCAAUGAUUUGCUCACCAUGGACGCCAUCCAGGACUGUGAUGUGAACUUAAAAGAGCAAGGUCGGCUCAUUCGACAGGAUGAGUUCACAGUUUUCUUCCGGAAGAAGAAAUCCAUCCGCCGCAUCUUCCUCUUUGAGGAUCUCAUUCUUUUCAGCAAAACCAAAAGGACAGACGGAAAUGAUGUUUAUGUCUACAAACAGUCCUUUAAGACCAGUGACAUCGGAAUGACUCAUAACGCUGGCGUUAGCGGACUCUCCUUUGAGAUCUGGUUCCGCAGACGCAAGAGUGAGGACACCUACACUCUGAAGGCCAGCAGCAUGGACUUGAAGAAAGCUUGGACCACUGACCUGGAGAAGCUUCUCUGGGAUCAGGCGGCUCACAGUCGAGAGCUGAGAUUACAAGAGAGAGUGUUCAUGGGACUCAGCCGCAAAACCUUCAUGGACAUUCAACCCAGUGACUCCACCGUUGGCGACCAGGCCAUCAGCAGCCCCAGGAGAAUCCCUGUGGCAUGUUGUUCACACAGGACUGUAGAUUACACUCGACCUCACUCCAUUGGGUCCGCCUCCACCACCCUCAGCCAGUCGUCUUCUUCGUCAGGCCGCGGCUCUCUCUCCCCUGCUGGCUAUGCUGGGAACCCAUCCCACGGGGUGGAGAACGGUCCAGCCGGAGGCCCCGUUCCCGACACUGUGUUGGAUAAUGAGGUCAACACUCAUCACUUUCAUUUUCAUCAUGACUGUGAACGCUGGAAAACGCUCCAUCAUCCACAGACCGUGGCGGACAUCACGGAUUCAUCCGAGGAGAGUGCCACCGUUUUCUUCAGCGACUCGGAGCACAGCUUUUUGUCGGCCCUUGGUGGGGAGGUGGUUGACUCUUCAUCCUCACUGAGCUCACACAGUUCCAAGCCCUGUACAUCAAUGUGUCGCAUGUCACCGGCUGUCACCAGGAAUAAACCACUUCCACACCGGGCUAAUGCUCAGGAAGAGGUUUCCAUUGGAAAAUCAACAGAGGUUUAAGGUUGGAUUCCCAGAGCGCGGUCUCACGUCUACACAUUCUGCCGGAUGUCCACUGGUCCACCUGCUCAUUGUUUGGGUAUCAUUUAAGUGGCUUUAUAUUCAAUAUAAUGUGGUUUUUAGACUUUGUGUGGUUACAUAGUCACACACCAGUCAUCUAUUUUUAUGGUUACAUUGCCACAACGUGUCAUAUGUUACGCAUUCAUAUGUGGUUGUAUUUGCCACACACCCUGUUAAGUUUUGCUAAAUACAUAAAAAAUAAAUACAUUAAAAAGUAUCAAAUUGCAGAAUAACAAGCAGAAAUAUUGGAAAUAGUGAAGUUGAUAUGUUAAAAUGAAGGAUUUAUGAUUUGAAUUGUGUUUUUGUAGUAUUUUAUACCACAGAUUAUGGAUAUAUUAUUAAGUUAAACACACAGGACCAGAGGCUAAUUUAUAUUUGUGUUUUCUUGUGUUUGUAUUAUGUAAUUAAUGAUUUGAGAAUUAUGAUGUAAAUAAAUUACAUCUCCCAUGUACAGGUGGCCCGAGGAGCUAAAAAAACAAAGAAAUGGUUGUGUUUGAUUUACAAAAUGGAUAAACCACUUUUAAAUAGCACAUAUAAUUGAUAGUAGCAAGAGUAUCAUUGCAAACACAAACAAACAUAUAUUUCAUGUGAAGCUACUCACUGUUUUAUGACAUUGCUACCCUUUCUUUACGGUGAGCUGGUGUAUUUAAAGGGGACCUAUUAUGCUUUUUCCACUUUUCUGACCUAUAAAUGUAAUGAUAAUGUUGUAAUCUCAUGUUAAAGAUGCCAAAGUUUCAUAUAAUGAGGUUUGCACAUUUUGGAAGUGAGUCCUGAAAAAAAGUUUGGGAUGGAUCAAAAUGCUCGGUUUCAGAAGGCGUGGUUAAACUGCCCCUUUGUGAUGUCACAGUUUUGUGAACAUUGGCCAGUAUGCUAGCCGACAAACUGCUGCUGACGCUUCCUGACGCCUUUCCAACUUUACUAGGUCGUGUGGACUGAGCAAAAGCAUAAAGAGCAGCAAAAAGAGGAAGUGAUCCAAGCCAGUGUGGCCUUCCAACUAAAAACAGAAUUAUGAGGACUCGUCAGAUGCUGACGACCCACUCUGGUUUCACAUGCUACAAAUAUCUCCCCACACCGCCACAAGCUGCUAUCACACACACAUGCACGCAUUCACAAACACAUACGGCAACAGGACACACACCUU